CCUACGGGUGGCAGCAGUGGGGAAUAUUGGACAAUGGGCGAAAGCCUGAUCCAGCCAUGCCGCGUGUGUGAAGAAGGCCUUCGGGUUGUAAAGCACUUUCAGUGGGGAAGAAAGCCUUGGGGCUAAUACCCUCGAGGAAGGACAUCACCCACAGAAGAAGCACCGGCUAACUCCGUGCCAGCAGCCGCGGUAAUACGGAGGGUACGAGCGUUAAUCGGAAUUACUGGGCGUAAAGCGCGCGUAGGCGGUCUGAUAAGCCGGUUGUGAAAGCCCCGGGCUCAACCUGGGAACGGCAUCCGGAACUGUCAGGCUAGAGUGCAGGAGAGGAAGGUAGAAUUCCCGGUGUAGCGGUGAAAUGCGUAGAGAUCGGGAGGAAUACCAGUGGCGAAGGCGGCCUUCUGGACUGACACUGACGCUGAGGUGCGAAAGCGUGGGUAGCAAACAGGAUUAGAUACCCGAGUAGUC
rnacentral:rRNA from 1 species